UACGUAGGGUGCGAGCGUUAAUCGGAAUUACUGGGCGUAAAGCGUGCGCAGGCGGUUCGUUGUGUCUGAUGUGAAAGCCCCGGGCUCAACCUGGGAAUGGCAUUGGAAACUGGCGAGCUAGAGUGUGGCAGAGGGGGGGUGGAAUUCCGCGUGUAGCAGUGAAAUGCGUAGAGAUGCGGAGGAACACCGAUGGCGAAGGCAGCCCCCCUGGGCUGACACUGACGCUCAGGCACGAAAGCGUGGGUAGCAAACAGG
rnacentral:rRNA from 1 species